GCCGUGGUGCUCAGGAGAAAUAGAGGGAGGGGAGUCACAUUUCGUGAGGCUUAACGUCAACAUGAGCAAAUAAUGCACAGGCUGAUGUCUUCAUUGAGCUCCAUGGAAAAUUCAAAUAGUCAUGAGAAUAAAGAAGACUCGAAGUAGAGUGAGAACUGGAAAAGAGAAAGAUGGAGAAAGAGUUCAUCAACUUGUGGGAAAUCGUCAUCGCCUAUUUCGUAGCCCGAACCUGACCAAUCAUUGGCAGGCUACGUAUACGGGUAUUGUCGUGGUAAAACACCCCCGGACUCUCCUGGUCAUCAUAAUGGUCGUCGCCAUUACAAUUGUUUUGAACGAGCCAUUAUUACCUCAAGAGAAAUCCGCCCCACUGGCUAAAUUGUCACCAGAGCAAAAAAAAGUCCGAAAAAGAUUCAUUUUGCACCGCAGCUCGAACGUCUUCCCCCGAUGCUAAAAAGCCGAUGAAUUACUUUCAUUAAAUUGUUCUGGGAGCCAUUGUUAAUGGUACGAAGGCUACGUACGGAGGCAUCAUAACUUAUCCGUCGAAAUGGUCCAAGUGGUCUAGAAACCCUCAAUGCGAUGAUGUUGAUAAUGAGAUGCCAGGCAAAGGCGAUGUGCAUUUGUUAAAUUGGAGAGUUUCCAAAAUUGAUAUUCCCUGUUGUUCAAAGAAAUGCAACCCCUAAAAUAAGAUUGGAACCACAGUCCUGUUUGAGUACACCCUCCAGUAAGGAAUUCUCAACUCUUGGCUUGACCAAACCUCAUGGAAAUUCCUAUUCUACAGAAAGCUUGGGAAUGGUAGUGGCUAUUUUCAGAGCCUUGGGAUCAUCACCAUCAUCAUCAUCAUCAUCAUUGACGACAAGACGGCUUGUCAUGUAAGCAGGAUUUGAUUGUUUCAUCAGAAAACGCAUUCAAUAAGGGACAUUCCUCGCAAACGAGGAUGAAAAGGAAUCGAUUUGCUCUUCAGUUUAUGCUAAACGACGUCAGGCGUGUGUGCGUGUGUGUGUGUGCGUGUACAUCGUUAUCACGUUAUCACACAUCAGUCAGGCCAGUCCGGAGUUGCCCUGGAAGUCUGCAUGACCAUUACCUAAUUUCAUUGUUAACCACGGGAAAAUUGUGCAAUAAGUUCGUAUGCGUGGACACAAGAUAGCCAAGUACUACAUAAUACAGAGUAGUAUAUUGCAGGCCAGCGGUGAUCCUUAUUAGGAUCGUCCACGAUUUCAAUCAAGACAAUACGCCGAUCGAAGCGUGCAGAGCGAGAAGAGGCAAUUUUGCGCUAAAACGAUUAAGAUCUUCCUUGCGAUGUUGCAAUGCAGAAAGUAAAAAUUGUAAAUGCUCUCCGGCCUUGACAUUGCCUGUCCAACUUGCAUAUCGAUUACCCAAUCAUCUUUUAUUUAUUCGAUCAUUCACUCUCUUUCUCAUACGUAUAAAA